ACCUGAACACAUCACCUGCAGCUCCGGUGUGUGUGAGAACGUGGGUGACGAGAAAAAAACGGAAAAAAAGGGAGAAAAGUCAUGCAGCCGCGGAGCAAAAGUGUCCUCGUUCAGCGGCCAGAUAUCAUGAUUUUGAGUUGUGAGAGAGUUGUGACAGAAUUGUAGUUAGCAGAGAGCGUGAAGAGAUACUCACCUGGUGAAACCGAUCACGGGAGGGACUCAAACCGAGAGUUCUCCGUACUUUUCUGAACUAUUCUGGUGAGUUAACGUUAGCUGCCUCGUUAGCUUGAUUAGUGGUAUCAUUUUUGUUCGGUACAGGAAGAAAAAAAGCCAGUCAGAAUAGUAAAUACAUGUUUAGUGGUGUCGAGACAUGUUUUUGUGAUGACAUGAUGAUAUGUUUUUAUUGUGUGUUACUGUGACAAACAGCUAGUAGUUUACCGAGCAGUUAGCUCAGCUGCGGCUUGCUAACUAGGCCAAGCACGGCCGAGUAUUUAAUAUUUUCUGUGUUUUGAGUUGUUUCAUAUUUCAUGUAAUAAGCUGCAUUGGUUAAUGUGCACUGGAAAAGUAAGCAGACAGCCAUUUAAGCUGAUAAUAAUUACGCUGCAUAUUAUGCAGGCUGGUUUUUUUUGAGGACGAGUUCUUCUGUUCAACUGUGAUCCACAUCGUCCGCUGUUGCCCCGUGGAGGCUCUUGGUUCAACAACAAGCCGUAUCACCCGCCAUGCUGCAGGGAGGCUCUUGGUUCAUCGGGACCAGUGUGGACAUCGGUGUGGUAUGGAAAGGUUCUGAGGAGUGACACAUUUUGUUUGCACUUUUUUCUGAGAUCUCAGUAAUUUUUGGGGGUUUUUAUUUUUAUUUUUUCCUAUUUUUUGGAAAGGAACGGAACUUAAAAAAACUGUUUUCUUCUUGGAGGACCCUGAAGGACAAUAAAAAAACUAAGGACAAUCAAACUCAUUAAAAGGGAAAGAAACAUUUUUUUUUUCUUUAUCUUAUCCUUAUUAUUUUCUAUAUUGGUACUUCCUGGUCAGCUGAUUUCAUUUUUUUAUGUUGUGAAUUUAAAAAAAAAAAACCCUGUACUUUAUUUAACGGAUGCAAGGCCGAAUAUUUUGAGUUGAAGAAAAAAACUGAAGAUCUGAAUAUACUUUUUUGAAAAAAAACAGCAUUCUGUGUCGUGUGCUUUGUGGGCUGGAGAUCAACUGCUCUCGUGCUUCAGUGCUACUGCCAAUCUCCUCACCCAAACCUAGUUGAUCAGACAGAACCAGAGAAGACUGAGGAAAAGGUUACAUACAAAAGUGGCGAGCCAGCCAGGAGAUUGGUUUAUAGUAGCUUUCUGAUCUUCCACCCCACAAUACACACCCUUGAGAUUUAGACAUUCAUUUCAUUGAGUCAGAUAUGGAUAUUUGUAACCGUUUUGAGGUUAAUGGUCAGAACUCUCUAUACGUAACUGGUAUAGGAUCAGAUUACACAGAUGAAGAAGUCAAUACUGUGUUCAGAGUUAAUGGAGACAUUUCAAAAAUAGUUAGGAUCCCUGACGAGUCAGGACAACCAGAGGGCAGAGCCCUGAUCCAGUACGCAUCUGACAGGUCCAUCUCUAGAAUCGACCCCAUUACCUUGGGUACCGUACCCAGCCCAAAGGAUCCUGAAGUGUCGUGGUUUGCAAGAACCAUUAGAGAUGUUUGCCAGGAAGAGAUGGGGAGGGAGAUAGCUCGCAGAUACCUGGGUGAGCUAGAGUCUGUUGCUGGCAGUGGCAGAGCAGGUUUCUUGAGUGUGCUUCAAGGGGAACUGCAGGGAACCCAGGGCACAUCACACAAUGUACACAGUAGUGUUACACAGCCACAUGCAACUGAAAAUGAUAACACACGUAGUAGUCAAAAUGAGCCUGCAGAGCCCACACAGGUUCAUAGUGCAUCUGCUAGUGUACCAGCCAGCCCAAUCCACGUCAGUGAAAAUGUUUUCAAUCCCCCCCAUAUCCAGAAAGUGAUUGUGGAGCAUGUCAUCCGCAGUGAGUCCAUCACUUCAUCAUCCCCACAAAUAAGGAUGCGCACCUUCUCCGGACGAAUGCCAAGGCCAAAUGGUGAGGUGGAUUAUGAAACGUGGCGCACCCAAGUUGAUCUUCUCCUUAACGAUCCUUCCCUGAACGACGCUCACAAGGUGAGAAGGAUUCUUGAGAGCUUGCUGAGUCCAGCAGCUGAUGUCGUGAAGCCUCUUGGCAUUUCUUCACCACCGAGCAGUUAUGUCACUCAACUUGAUUCUGCUUUUGGUGUUGUGGAGGAUGGAGAGGAGUUGUUCGCUACAUUUCUCAGCUCUAACCAAAACAAUGGAGAGAAACCAUCAGCAUAUCUGAACAGGCUCCACAGCCUCCUCACAAGGGCAAUUUCUAGAGGGGGAGUCUCAGCUGAAAACUCCAAUGAUCACUUGCUCAGACAAUUCUGUAGGGGCUGUUGGGAUCAGAGCAUCAUCAUAGGCCUACAGUUAGAGUGCAAAAGAAGCAACCCACCAACAUUCCCAGAGUUCCUCCUCAUGCUGAGAACUGAGGAAGACCGUCGUUCAGCAAAGCUAGAUAGGAUGAAAAAGCAUUUGGGUACUUCAAAAGCUAACAUGUAUGCCCACCAUGUUUUUGAUAUGCCCUCUUAUGACUGUGAGCCUGUCCCAUUGCCUAACAUAAAACAAAAUGAGACAUCAAAGCUUGAAAAGAAAGUGAAUGAACUAAGUAAACAGCUGGAAAAGCUAAGCAAAAAGCCACAGAGCCUCACUCAUCAUAGUAUCCCUCCCCCAGUGGCAAAACCAAGGCAGAAUGAAACCUCUGACAUUGAGAACAAGAUAGCUGAACUGACAAAACAAGUUGGAAAACUAGCACAGAAUCAGAGAGAGAGUGAGGGUGCUCAAAAGAAAGACUGCCUCGUGAUCAGUAGCAAUAACACGAGGAGACCCUUCAAGGUGCCUGGGAUGCCGAGGCCGUGGUUUUGUUUUAAGUGUGGGGAGGACAACCACAUUGCUGCUCAUUGCUCAAACGAACCCAACCCCACACUGGUUCGCAAGAAAAAUGCGGAACUCAGGGAGAGGCAGGAUAAGUUUUUUACUCAGCAGGUUGCUUCCCCAUUUGCUUUAAACUAGCAGCAGCUCCUGCCAUGGGACAUCCAGGAGCUGUAGUCGAGGAUAACCCCUGUCCCAAC